rnacentral:rRNA from 1 species
GAUGAACGCUGGCGGCGUGCCUAACACAUGCAAGUCGAACGGAGUCCAGCCUUUAAGACCUUCGGGUCAAAGAGGGGAAGACUGAGUGGCGGACGGGUGAGUAACACGUGGGCAACCUGGCUCAUAGAGGGGGAUAACAGAGAGAAAUUUCUGCUGAUACCGCAUAAGCACACACUGCCGCAUGGCAGAGGGUGAAAAGAGAAUCGCUAUGAGAUGGACCCGCGUCUGAUUAGCCAGUUGGCAGGGUAAGAGCCUACCAAAGCGACGAUCAGUAGCCGAUCUGAGAGGAUGAACGGCCACAUUGGGACUGAGACACGGCCCAAACUCCUACGGGAGGCAGCAGUGGGGGAUAUUGCACAAUGGGGGGAACCCUGAUGCAGCGACGCCGCGUGAGUGAAGAAGUAUUUCGGUAUGUAAAGCUCUAUCAGCAGGGAAGAUAAUGACAGUACCUGAAUAAGAAGCCCCGGCUAACUACGUG